UAGUCCUAGUCCCACUUUCCCUAGCCCAACUCUGCAUUCUUGUCCCUGCUCCUUGCCUGAAUCGUGUCACGUCCCUACUCUAGUCAAGUCCUGUUCCUUGUACUUCAGUGUCUGUGUCUUGCAUUUGGGUUCGUUCCCAGCACCCCCAUUGUGACAGAAGGAGUAGAUCAAGAAGGGCUUAGUUCAGAUGUUGUGUUAGAAAUUGAAGGACCUCAGGAGGAAGAAUCUGCCCAGCCUUCAGACGAAGCCGAUAUUCCAUCCACUAGCCAGGAUCCUCCUGGUUCAGCUGAUGCUGCCAUCACACAACCUAAACCUUUGUGAAGAGUACGGCUUUAUCCACAGAUGGAGAGAAUUGCAGCUGGAGGACGACAAUUCAUUAGCCAAAGAGACCAGCCAAGUGGUAGGAAUUGUCUCCAGCCCAAGCCAGCGAGCAGGCAGCUGGGAGGAGAAGAAUGUGGGCCACAGCUGUGAAUUGUCUCCAGGCAGAGCAGACAUUGAGCCAGAGCUGGUUGCCGUGGAGCCUCUAUCAACAGGAAGCUCAAGGCCUUGAGCAACAGCAGGUCCAAGGCCUAGAAUUUGAAGGCAGAUUACAAAGUUAAUGGCACUAUUCUUAGCAGCGUGGAGAAACAGAGGGUUCUUGGGAUCCAGGUCCAUAGAUCUCUUGAAAUUACCAAGCGGUAACAGUCCACGUUGGCAAUGAUCUGCAGAAAAACCGCUUCAGCUGUUCCUAGGCGAUGCAACGCCUCUACAGCGCACUGAUGCCCCGUCCACUUACACUCCAGUCUCUUCCGUCUUGGACAUGAUACAAUGCUGCUUAAAUUUGAGAAGAAAUCAUUUUAUAACUUAUUCAUCUACUGAGUGGAAAUUUUAGUCCUUAA